GGGGAUAUAGCUCUGUGGUACAGCGCCUGCCUGACAAACAUGAGGUUGUGAGUUCAAUUCUCAGUACCCA
rnacentral:tRNA from 1 species